GACAGAGGGGGCAAGCGUUGCUCGGAAUUACUGGGCGUAAAGGGCGCGUAGGCGGGAUGGUAAGUCGGGUGUGAAAUCUCGGAGCUUAACUCCGAAACUGCAUUCGAUACUGCCGUGCUUGAGGACUGGAGAGGAGACUGGAAUUUACGGUGUAGCGGUGAAAUGCGUAGAUAUCGUAAGGAAGACCAGUGGCGAAGGCGGGUCUCUGGACAGGUUCCUGACGCUGAGGCACGAAGGCCAGGGGAGCAAACGGG
rnacentral:rRNA from 1 species